CCCCGAGUCCCUCUUGCGCCUGGCGCUUCGUAGCGCCCAAAGACUGAGAGGGGUUAGAGGCGCCGAUCACAUCCUAGAGGUCGUUUAUGUCGAGCUGUGGAUGUUACAUGCGUUGUUUGGCCAGGACAGCGAGAUGCUGGCAGCCUUCUACGGGUGGUUCAGGGUCUCCCUCGUGGUCAGCGCAGUCCCAGGAUGUGGAGUUCUGGUCUUCAUCAUCGGACCGCCCCUUUAUCAGUAUGUGACCAAGUUCCUCAUCGUGGCAAUGUCUUUUCAGCUUCGGAUCCGCCGAAAUCGAGCCAGAGCUCGGACCAGACAGCUGCUAAAUUCUGCGCGGGCCUGGAGGCGCUAGGGUUAAGGCGGGGCCGACCCCAGCCCCCUAAUCCAGAAGACAGGGCAACCAAGGCUUGCGCGAAUGCUGACCUGGAGGUCUGGAGGCCAAGGCUCCAUCCAGUUCUCUUAGCACCAUGAAAGAUGCCGAUGAGGGUAGGGAUGGGAGCACCUGUUCUUAAUUCUGUCCCUUUCGAGUGACUGCAAGCUCAAUCUUUUAAGGAAAUUUUCUUUGGUUUUAUAAUAAAUGAUCUUUGUUGAUUUCCUUCCUGUCAGUGUUCUUUCCAGGUUAUGAUGGAGAAAAGAAAACAAUUUCUGGGAGUCCCCCCCCUCACCCCCAACUCCCACUCUGGAUGGAGCUCUCCUUUCCUGCCUGGGUCCCUACCUGGAAGAGUGGGGAGCUCCAAGGAGGGAGGUGCCUGUUGUAGGGGUGCUGCUGAG
rnacentral:lncRNA from 1 species